rnacentral:lncRNA from 1 species
ACCAUUACCAUGCUUUUUUUCAUCUCCUCUUGACCAUGUCUUUGUACCAAUGAUCACCUUGAAGCUUUUGACCUUGUGAUUGCUCAAGCUACAAACAAAAGAUGUUAGUGACAUAUUUUUGUGCUUUUGGUUAGUAAACAAAAUGAGAAAAUCAAUGAUAUACAAUUCAAGCAUGCUUGGUGGAUCUCAAACCACUCACAAGGAGUCCCACCCAAAAGGACAAGGAACCAAGAUGCUUAAUGAUCCUUGAGGUUAUGUAAAUGCAAUGUUAUGAUGCCAUGAG